UAAACUACAGAAGAGAAACGGGGAGGCCAGGACCGGCUCACGGAACACCCAGGUGAAGAUGCCCAGGAAGCAGUGGGCUAUAAGGACCUGGGGCUCAGGAACGGACUGUAAAUCUGUGAACAAAUAUUUCCUGCGCACCCCGCGCUGCACUGGACACGCAAGAGUAGACCAGCGGGCACUGCUCCGUGGGUCACAAGGGUGGCGGCGCUGACGAGGACACUUCGUUCGUGGGACGCCGUGCCACGUGCUGUACAGGCGUCACCUCGUGUGACCCUCACCGGGGCCGCCCGCCGUCAGGCCCCUUCUGCGGAUGAGGAAACAGAUCAGUGCCCAGACCACACAGCUGCAGCAACGGAAGCAGCAGCGGCAGAACCGCAGGCCGGCCAGGCUGAGGCUGCGGCCAGGACGGAGCCCGGUAGGAUGCUCGCAAAGGACACACAACACCUGCCUCUAGUCCUGCUGCUCCGGUUGGAAGCUGCUUUUCACGCCUCGGGGAGACCUCAGAGCAGCCACAGUCAGCACCUCUCGGCGGCCGGGUAACUUCUCGAGGACAGAACAGGCUCUGUGACAAGCUGUGCAAAGUCAGAGGCACGGGAGUGAGUUUGGAAACGGCCGUGGACGUGGGGCCCGGCUGCUUGACGCCAGGGUCGGACGGUGACAGGUGACGUCCACGCACAAAGGAGUUCUUUCCAUCAGAGGACCCGCAAGAGGCCUUCAGAGGUGUCCCAGCCACGGCCUGCUCCAAGGCAGGGGGCUCUCUGCACACAGCCUUCAUGUUUUCAUCAGUAAUAAAGUAUCAGUUU